rnacentral:lncRNA from 1 species
GGAGCAGGUGGAGUGGUGGCGCUGGAUAGCGGUGUACACUUAAAGCAUUCUGGGAAUAUGAAUCCCUUCUGCACCCGGGAUUCACCAGUCCAGCCAUGCAUGGAGCUGGGGAAAGCAGGCCCUGAACUGUCUAGAGAGACUUGGUGGAGGAGGCCACGGCCCGUCUUGUCCCUGCCGGGUCCUGGCCAGGUGUGUGUGCCCCAGCUCGACUCUCGGUGGUCUCCAGGCUGCAGCAGAAGGAAUACCUUGGAACAACUGGAUGUUGUAAAUGUUUCUCAUCUGGCCUUAAAAUCCAUGAAAGCUGGAAAAUGCCAAGGCAUCUGUGCACAUACUGGUGGAUUUUAAUGAGAGUCCUGUGUUUGGAGCACCAGAAAUAAACCAGCUUCAGAAGCAAA